GAUGAACGCUGGCGGCGUGCCUAAUACAUGCAAGUCGAGCGAACAGAUGAGGAGCUUGCUCCUCUGACGUUAGCGGCGGACGGGUGAGUAACACGUGGAUAACCUACCUAUAAGACUGGGAUAACUUCGGGAAACCGGUGCUAAUACCGGAUAAUAUAUUGAACCGCAUGGUUCAAUAGUGAAAGACGGUUUUGCUGUCACUUAUAGAUGGAUCCGCGCCGCAUUAGCUAGUUGGUAAGGUAACGGCUUACCAAGGCAACGAUGCGUAGCCGACCUGAGAGGGUGAUCGGCCACACUGGAACUGAGACACGGUCCAGACUCCUACGGGAGGCAGCAGUAGGGAAUCUUCCGCAAUGGGCGAAAGCCUGACGGAGCAACGCCGCGUGAGUGAUGAAGGUCUUCGGAUCGUAAAACUCUGUUAUUAGGGAAGAACAAAUGUGUAAGAAACUAUGCACGUCUUGACGGUACCUAAACAGAAAGCCACGGCUAACUACGUG
rnacentral:rRNA from 1 species